UAACGUUAAAAACCUGCAAUCAAACUUUAAACCUGAUCAUUUUAUUUUUUAAGUUUGACUGCAGGUUUUUAACGUAA